AGGACGAACGCUGGCGGCGUGCUUAACACAUGCAAGUCGAGGGCGUGGCGGGGCAACUCGCCACGACCGGCGAACGGGUGCGUAACACGUGAGCGACCUACCCUGGUGUGGGGGAUAGCCGGCCCAACGGCCGGGUAAUACCGCAUGCGCUUUGGCUUCUUCCUGGAAGCUCAAGCAAAGUCUUCGGACGCACUGGAGGGCUCGCGGCCUAUCAGCUAGUUGGCGGGGUAAUGGCUCACCAAGGCGACGACGGGUA
rnacentral:rRNA from 1 species